rnacentral:rRNA from 1 species
UACAGAGGUGGCAAGCGUUGUUCGGAAUUACUGGGCGUAAAGGGCGCGUAGGCGGCCAUCUAAGUCAGACGUGAAAUCCCCCGGCUUAACCUGGGAACUGCGUCUGAUACUGGACGGCUUGAGUAUGGGAGAGGGAUGUAGAAUUCCAGGUGUAGCGGUGAAAUGCGUAGAUAUCUGGAGGAAUACCGGUGGCGAAGGCGGCAUCCUGGACCGAGAUUGACGCUGAGGCGCGAAAGCCAGGGGAGCAAACGGG